rnacentral:tRNA from 1 species
UCCGGGAUCGUCUAACGGCAGGACGGGAGGUUUUGGUCCUCCUAAUCGUGGUUCGAAUCCACGUCCCGGAA